UACGAAGGGGGCUAGCGUUGCUCGGAAUUACUGGGCGUAAAGCGCACGUAGGCGGAUUUGUAAGUCAGGGGUGAAAUCCUGGAGCUCAACUCCAGAACUGCCUUUGAUACUGAGAAGCUUGAGUUCGGGAGAGGUGAGUGGAACUGCGAGUGUAGAGGUGAAAUUCGUAGAUAUUCGCAAGAACACCAGUGGCGAAGGCGGCUCACUGGCCCGAUACUGACGCUGAGGUGCGAAAGCGUGGGGAGCAAACAGG
rnacentral:rRNA from 1 species